rnacentral:tRNA from 2 species
GGGAGUGUCGCCUAACGGAUAAGGCAACUGUCUUCUAAACAGUUUCAUGCAGGUUCGACUCCUGCCAUUCCUGCCA